rnacentral:rRNA from 1 species
UGGGAACGUACCCUUCAGUUCGGAACAACCCAGGGAAACUUGGGUUAAUACCGAAUACGUCCGUAAGGAGAAAGAUUUAUCGCUGAAGGAUCGGCCCGCGUCUGAUUAGCUAGUUGGUGAGGUAAUGGCUCACCAAGGCGACGAUCAGUAGCUGGUCUGAGAGGAUGAUCAGCCUCACUGGGACUGAGACACGGCCCAGACUCCUACGGGAGGCAG